rnacentral:lncRNA from 1 species
GGAUAUCCCACAUGGGGGAACAUGUCCUGCAGUGUCCGCUUGGCCUACUAGUGACGCUGUGGGGGCCUGCAGUGUGGCCACUUCCAUCAAAGCUCACAUCACUGCAAAACCCACUGUCUCUGUCCUAACAGCCCCUUAGUCACUCUCUGGCUCUGCCCAGUCAUGGCCAGAGGCGCUUUCUUCCCAGGGCUGGAUCUGCAUCAAGAAUCAAACAUGGGCCAGGCACGGUGGCUCACACCUGUCAUCCCAACACUUUGGGAGGCUGAAGCAGGAGGAUCGCUUGAGCCCAGGAGUUCUAGACCAGCCUGGACAACAUGGCGAGACCCCAUCUAAGGCACAGUCGCUGUCCCCACCAGUCCCCACACCCACUCCUGUCAUGGCCUCUCCCUGGACUGCGCCUACAGCCCCUGGGCACGCUGCUCUGCAGCCCUCACAGGCCAGAAAAAGACUCCAAGCCUCAUCUCUCCAUCAAAGCUGAAAAUUGGGUGAAACUCCAUGGUCAGGGAAAGGGGGACCUGUCAAGCCAGCCAAGAAAAUUCACCUUGUCUCAGCACCAGCCAAAUGCGGCCAUGGCUGCCCUGCAGUGACAGCUCAGCACCGCUGGGGAGGCCAGAGGAGUCCCCAUGCACCCGGACAUACCCCAAGGUGGCUUAUGAGCCCCCGGGCACCUGACUCGCUGCUGUGCCCCCUUAACAAGAGGCCCUCCAUCAGCGCCACGCAGAGCCUGCAGG